rnacentral:rRNA from 1 species
GACGAACGCUGGCGGCGUGCUUAACACAUGCAAGUCGAGCGGUAAGGCCCUUUCGGGGGUACGACGAGCGGCGAACGGGUGAGUAACACGUGGGUGACCUGCCCUCAGCUCUGGGAUAAGCCUGGGAAACCGGGUCUAAUACUGGAUAUGACUCCAUGACGCAUGUUGUGGGGUGGAAAGCCUUGUGCGGCUGAGGAUGGGCCCGCGGCCUAUCAGCUUGUUGGUGGGGUGAGGCCUACCAAGGCGACGACGGGUAGCCGGCCUGAGAGGGCGACCGGCCACACUGGGACUGAGACACGGCCCAGACUCCUACGGGAGGCAGCAGUGGGGAAUCUUGCGCAAUGGGCGAAAGCCUGACGCAGCGACGCCGCGUGAGGGAUGACCGGG